rnacentral:rRNA from 1 species
ACGCUGGCGGCGUGCCUAAUACAUGCAAGUAGAACGCUGAAGGAGGAACUUGCUUCUCUGGAUGAGUUGCGAACGGGUGAGUAACGCGUAGGUAACCUGCCUGGUAGCGGGGGAUAACUAUUGGAAACGAUAGCUAAUACCGCAUAAUAGUAGAUGUUGCAUGACAUUUGCUUAAAAGAUGCAAUUGCAUCACUACCAGAUGGACCUGCGUUGUAUUAGCUAGUUGGUGGGGUAACGGCUCACCAAGGCGACGAUACAUAGCCGACCUGAGAGGGUGAUCGGCCACACUGGGACUGGGACACGGCCCAGACUCCUACGGGAGGCAGCAGUAGGGAAUCUUCGGCAAUGGACGAAAGUCUGACCGAGCAACGCCGCGUGAGUGAAGAAGGUUUUCGGAUCGUAAAGCUCUGUUGUAAGAGAAGAACGAGUGUGAGAGUGGAAAGUUCACACUGUGACGGUAUCUUACCAGAAAGGGACGGCUAACUACGUGCCAGCGGCCGCGGUAAUACGUAGGUCCCGAGCGUUGUCCGGAUUUAUUGGGCGUAAAGCGAGCGCAGGCGGUUAGAUAAGUCUGAAGUUAAAGGCUGUGGCUUAACCAUAGUACGCUUUGGAAACUGUUUAACUUGAGUGCAAGAGGGGAGAGUGGAAUUCCAUGUGUAGCGGUGAAAUGCGUAGAUAUAUGGAGGAACACCGGUGGCGAAAGCGGCUCUCUGGCUUGUAACUGACGCUGAGGCUCGAAAGCGUGGGGAGCGAACAGGAUUAGAUACCCUGGUAGUCCACGCCGUAAACGAUGAGUGCUAGGUGUUAGACCCUUUCCGGGGUUUAGUGCCGCAGCUAACGCAUUAAGCACUCCGCCUGGGGAGUACGACCGCAAGGUUGAAACUCAAAGGAAUUGACGGGGGCCCGCACAAGCGGUG